rnacentral:rRNA from 1 species
AGAGUUUGAUCCUGGCUCAGAUUGAACGCUGGCGGCACGCCUAACACAUGCAAGUCGAGCGGUAACAUAGCUAGUAGAAAUACUAGUUGAUGACGAGCGGCGGACGGGUGAGUAACACGUAGGAACUUGCCCAGAAGAGGGGGAUAACCAAGGGAAACUUUGGCUAAUACCGCAUAAUACUCGAGAGAGGAAAGCUUUUG